rnacentral:rRNA from 1 species
GGUGAAGCAGAGCUUGCUCUGUGGAUCAGUGGCGAACGGGUGAGUAACACGUGAGCAAUCUGCCCCUGACUCUGGGAUAAGCGCUGGAAACGGCGUCUAAUACCGGAUACGAGCUGCGACCGCAUGGUCAGUAGCUGGAAAGAAUUUCGGUCAGGGAUGAGCUCGCGGCCUAUCAGCUUGUUGGUGAGGUAAUGGCUCACCAAGGCGUCGACGGGUAGCCGGCCUGAGAGGGUGACCGGUCACACUGGGACUGAGACACGGCCCAGACUCCUACGGGAGGCAGCAGUGGGGAAUAUUGCACAAUGGGCGCAAGCCUGAUGCAGCAACGCCGCGUGAGGGAUGACGGCCUUCGGGUUGUAAACCUCUUUUAGCAGGGAAGAAGCGAAAGUGACGGUACCUGCAGAAAAAGCGCCGGCUAACUACGUGCCAGCAGCCGCGGUAAUACGUAGGGCGCAAGCGUUAUCCGGAAUUAUUGGGCGUAAAGAGCUCGUAGGCGGUCUGUCGCGUCUGCUGUGAAAACCCGAGGCUCAACCUCGGGCCUGCAGUGGGUACGGGCAGACUAGAGUGCGGUAGGGGAGAUUGGAAUUCCUGGUGUAGCGGUGGAAUGCGCAGAUAUCAGGAGGAACACCGAUGGCGAAGGCAGAUCUCUGGGCCGUAACUGACGCUGAGGAGCGAAAGGGUGGGGAGCAAACAGGCUUAGAUACCCUGGUAGUCCACCCCGUAAACGUUGGGAACUAGUUGUGGGGUCCAUUCCACGGAUUCCGUGACGCAGCUAACGCAUUAAGUUCCCCGCCUGGGGAGUACGGCCGCAAGGCUAAAACUCAAAGGAAUUGACGGGGACCCGCACAAGCGGCGGAGCAUGCGGAUUAAUUCGAUGCAACGCGAAGAACCCUUACCAAGGCUUGACAUAUAGAGGAAACGUCUGGAAACAGUCGCCCCGCAAGGUCUCUAUACAGGUGGUGCAUGGUUGUCGUCAGCUCGUGUCGUGAGAUGUUGGGUUAAGUCCCGCAACGAGCGCAACCCUCGUUCUAUGUUGCCAGCACGUAAUGGUGGGAACUCAUGGGAUACUGCCGGGGUCAACUCGGAGGAAGGUGGGGAUGACGUCAAAUCAUCAUGCCCCUUAUGUCUUGGGCUUCACGCAUGCUACAAUGGCCGGUACAAAGGGCUGCAAUACCGUGAGGUGGAGCGAAUCCCAAAAAGCCGGUCCCAGUUCGGAUUGAGGUCUGCAACUCGACCUCAUGAAGUCGGAGUCGCUAGUAAUCGCAGAUCAGCAACGCUGCGGUGAAUACGUUCCCGGGUCUUGUACACACCGCCCGUCAAGUCAUGAAAGUCGGUAACACCUGAAGCCGGUGGCCCAACCCUUGUGGAGGGAGCCGUCGAAGGUGGGAUCGGUAAUUAGGACUAAGU